CUUUCAGGGCUCCUGUGAAGAUGAAAUGAAGAAACUGGUUUUCCUCAUUAUGAGUAUGGCAGACCAGACUCAACAGGUACGCUGGGAGCAGGCCACCGAAGGAUGAUCAAAUUGAGAUUACACGCACUGCAGGGCUGGACCGAGUUCUCCUGGCUGGUUCACAGAGGACAUUCUGUGUCCAAGGGGCUUGUGGAGGGAGGAAAAACAAAACAGCUUGUGAGUUUGCCUCUCUCUCUGCAUGGCCGUCGGGCCCACAUAGGCAAUUUAUUGAUACUUCACCCCAGAGCUCAUCUGCUGUCCACGCUGCUCACAGAUGUGCCCACUGUUGUGAUGCCGAGAGGCUG